AUUGAACGCUGGCGGCAGGCCUAAAACAUGCAAGUCGAGCGGAGCGGCGGACGGGUGAGUAAUGCCUAGGAAUCUGCCUGGUAGUGGGGGAUAACGUCCGGAAAGGGGCGCUAAUACAGCAUACUAUCAGAUGAGCCUAGGGCGGAUUUGCUAGUUGGUGGGGUAAAGGCCUACCAAGGCGACGAUCCGUAACUGGUCUGAAAGGAUGAUCAGUCACACUGGAACUGAUCCACGGUCCAGACGCCUACUGUAGGCAGCAUUGGUGAAUAUUGGACAAUGGGCGAAAGCCUGAUCCAGCCAUGCCGCGUGUGUGAAGAAGGUCUUCGGAUUUUAAAGCACUUUAAGUUGGGAGGCGUUACCAACAGAAUAAGCACCGGCUAACUUCGUGCCAGCCGCCGCGGUAAUUC
rnacentral:rRNA from 1 species